rnacentral:rRNA from 1 species
GACAGAGGGGGCAAGCGUUGCUCGGAAUUACUGGGCGUAAAGGGCGCGUAGGCGGGAUGGCAAGUCGGUCGUGAAAUCCCUCGGCUCAACCGAGGAACGUCGAUCGAUACUGCUGUUCUUGAGGAUUGCAGAGGAGACUGGAAUUCCCGGUGUAGCGGUGAAAGUGUGUAGAGAUCGGGAGGAACACCGGUGGCGAAGGCGGGUCUCUGGGCAAUUCCUGACGCUGAGGCGCGAAAGCGUGGGGAGCAAACGGG